AUUGAACGCUGGCGGCAUGGCUAAAACAUGCAAGUCGAACGCGAAAGCACUUCGGUGCAAGUAGAGUGGCGAAAGGGCGAGGAAUAAGUACCUAACGUGCCUUCAGGUAAGGGAUAGCUCAUGGAAACGUGUGGUAAUACCUUAUAAUCUCAUUGUUUCAUAUGGAAUGAUGAGCAAAGGCUUGCUGCCUGAAGAUCGGGGUACUUCCUAUCAGCUUGCUGGUGAGGUAAUGGCUCACCAAGGCGAAGACGGGUAGCUGGUGUGAGAGCACGACCAGCCGCAUCGGGACUGAGACACUGCCCGGACUCCUACGGGAGGCUGCAGUAACGAAUAUUCCGCAAUGCACGAAAGUGUGACGGAGCAAUGCCGCGUGUGGGAUGAAGCAUCUAGGUGUGUAAACCACUGUCAGGGUUUAGGAAACAAAUGACCAGACCCAAAGGAAGAGCCGGCUAACUCUGUGCCAGCAGCCGCGGUAAUACAGAGGGCUCAAGCGUUAAUCGGAGUCACUGGGCUUAAAGCGUACGCAGGCUGAUGUGCAGGCAUCUUGUGAAAUCCCACGGCUCAACCGUGGAAUUGCUCGGUGAACCGCACAUCUUGAGACAGACAGAGGCCGUCGGAACGAUCGGUGGAGUGGUGAAAUGCGUUGAUAUCGAUCGGAACGCCAAAGGUGAAGACAGGCGGCUGGGUCUGUUCUGACGCUCAUGUACGAAAGCGUGGGUAGCGAACGGGAUUAGAUACCCCGGUAGUCCACGCCGUAAACGAUGUGCACUAGGUCGAGGACGUUCUGACGCGAUUCUCGGCUGAAGCAAAAGUGUUAAGUGCACCGCCUGGGGAGUACGGUCGCAAGGCUAAAACUCAAAGGAAUUGACGGGGGCUCACACAAGCGGUGGAGCAUGUUGCUUAAUUCGAUGCAACGCGAAGAACCUUAUCCUGGGUUUGACAUGUACGGAUUAGCUCGGUGAAAGUCGAGUGACGCGGUUUACCGUGGAACGUACACAGGUGCUGCAUGGCUGUCGUCAGCUCGUGCUGUGAAGUGUUGGGUUAAGUCCCUUAACGAGCGCAACCCCUGUCGCUAGUUGCUACCAGGUAAUGCUGAGGACUCUAGCGAGACUGCCGGUGUCAAACCGGAGGAAGGUGGGGAUGACGUCAAGUCCGCAUGGCCUUUAUGCCCAGGGCUGCAAACGUGCUACAAUGGUCGGUACAGAACGAUGCAAGACCGUAAGGUGGAGCAAAUCGCGAAAGCCGGCCCCAGUUCGGAUUGAGGGCUGCAACUCGCCCUCAUGAAGUUGGAAUCGCUAGUAAUCGCGGAUCAGAACGCCGCGGUGAAUACGUUCCCGGGCCUUGUACACACCGCCCGUCACACCAUGGGAGUGGGCUGUACCAGAAGUGGCUAGCUUAACCUUCGGGAGAGCGGUUACCACGGUAUGGUUCAUGACUGGGGUG
rnacentral:rRNA from 1 species